GACGUAGGGCGCGAGCGUUGUCCGGAUUUAUUGGCGUAAAGAGCUCGUAGGCGGCUCGUUGCGUCGGCUGUGAAAACCCGCGGCUCAACCGUGGCUUGCAGCUGAUACGGGCGGGCUGGAGUUGGUAGGGAGACUGGAAUUCCUGGUGUAGCGGUGAAAUGCGCAGAUAUCAGGAGGAACACCGGUGGCGAAGGCGGGUCUCUGGGCCGAUACUGACGCUGAGGAGCGAAAGCGUGGGGAGCGAACAGG
rnacentral:rRNA from 1 species